rnacentral:lncRNA from 1 species
AGUAUAUAAAUGGUGCUGAAGGGGUGUCAGGCCGUUCUAGGCUCAUGCGUGUCUGCGCGCUGGGCUGCUCCGUUCCCGGCUUAGAGGACCAGGACAAGGGCUAGCCACCGCUGCAUGCUGGAGGCUGUGGCUGCGGCACCACAGCUCGCCUCGCUGCGGUUGGUGGCAGCGACGGAGACUGCAGUGUGGCUGGAGCGCCCAGGGAUGCAGGGGAGGUCCCAGCAAGUGGCCACGCCAGCUGCUGCCCUUCUCCCCUGGCCAUUGACACAUCUGGUUCACCUCAGCAUCCCUAGGUGUUACGAGGAGGGCAGAGUGUAGCCAGCCCUGGCCUGGGAAUGCACCAACACGGGGUCCCUGCUGUGGUCAUGGACAUGUUCACCCAUGUGGACAUCUUCAAAGACCUGCUGGAUGCCGGCUUCAAGAGGAAAGCAGAUUUGUACAUCAUCGUGGACGGGAGUAAAGUCAAGUACGUUCUGCAUAUGUGUGAGCAGACCCGCAUGCACCUGGGGCACCUCAAGGCAAUCCUGGUCUGAAAACAUUAAAUGAAAAAUCCACAGAUAAACAACUGACAAGUUUUAACUUGCUGUGCUGUUCCAAGUAGUGUGGUGGGAGCUCCUGUCAUCCCCCUCUACUCAAGGCCCACCCAGGACGUGAAUCAUCUCUGCCCACAACAUCUACCUGUCUACCUUCCCACUUGUUAGUCACUUAGCAGCUCUCUGAGUCGUCAAAUCCUCUGUUGAGAUAUCACAGUGUUUGUGUUCAAAGAAAUCUUGUUUUACUUAAUGGCCCCAAAGUGCAAAAGUACUGAUGCUGGCAAUUCAAAAAUGCCAAAGAGAAGCCAUAAAGUGUUCCUUUUAAGUGAAAAGGUGAAAGUUAAUCAUAGGGCAUGCAUGUGUAGAAACAAAGAUAAUCUAUAUUGGAUUUAGUACUAUCUGUGGUUUCAGGCAUCCUCUGAAGAUCUUGAAAUGUAUCCCCUAUGGAUAAAGGAGGACUACUAUAUUCUCAAUGGAUUUUGCAAGAAGAAAAUUAAUCAUUCACAAAAUAUUUUAACCUUAGAAUUUAAAUAAAUGUGUAUAUUCUCUACAAGUUAAACACAAAUAUUGUAAUAACCUAUGGCCACUUUUUCUUAUUUUUAUGCCAUUUGAGUAAUGACUGGUAUUGAUUUGCUGAGGUUCAAAUUUCGAAUUCUAGUUUUUCUUAAACAUGACUUAUAUUAAUAAGAAUA